rnacentral:tRNA from 1 species
UGCAUUUUGGUGUAUGACGCACGUAAAUUUUUGAUAUUUAAGGAUCUUAGUUUAAAUCUAUCAGGUGUAA